CGCGAAAGCGUGACGCAGCGACGCCGCGUGGGGGAUGAAGGCCCUCGGGUUGUAAACCCCUUUCGCCAGGGACGAAGCGAGAGUGACGGUACCUGGAGAAGAAGUCCCGGCUAACUACGUGCCAGCAGCCGCGGUAACACGUAGGGGACGAGCGUUGUCCGGAUUCAUUGGGCGUAAAGCGCGCGUAGGCGGUCGUGCAAGUCGGUUGUGAAAUCCCGGGGCUCAACCCCGGGACUGCGUCCGAUACUGUGCGACUGGAGGCAGGUAGGGGAGAUCGGAAUUCCUGGUGUAGCGGUGAAAUGCGCAGAUAUCAGGAGGAACACCGGUGGCGAAGGCGGAUCUCUGGGCCUUGCCUGACGCUGAGGCGCGAAAGCUAGGGGAGCGAACAGGAUUAGAUACCCUGGUAGUCCUAGCCGUAAACGUUGGGUGCUAGGUGUGGGCGGACAUCGACCCCGUCCGUGCCGAAGCUAACGCAUUAAGCACCCCGCCUGGGGAGUACGGCCGCAAGGCUA
rnacentral:rRNA from 1 species